GAUGAACGCUGGCGGCGUGCUUAACACAUGCAAGUCGAACGGUGAAGGCGGAGCUUGCUCUGCUGGAUCAGUGGCGAACGGGUGAGUAACACGUGAGCAAUCUGCCCCUGACUCUGGGAUAAGCGCUGGAAACGGCGUCUAAUACUGGAUACGAGCUGCGAAGGCAUCUUCAGCAGCUGGAAAGAACUUCGGUCAGGGAUGAGCUCGCGGCCUAUCAGCUUGUUGGUGAGGUAACGGCUCACCAAGGCGUCGACGGGUAGCCGGCCUGAGAGGGUGAACGGCCAAACUGGGACUGAGACACGGACCAGACUCCUACGGGAGGCAGCAGUGGGGAACAUUGCACAAUGGGCGAAAGCCUGAUGCAGCAACGCCGCGUGAGGGACGACGGCUUUCGGGUUGUAAACCUCUUUUAGCAGGGAAGAAGCGAAAGUGACGGUACCUGCAGAAAAAGCGCCGGCUAACUACGUG
rnacentral:rRNA from 1 species